AAAUGAGGCAAAGUGUCCGAGGAUGGGGGAGAGGAAGGGGAGUGCGUCCUAAACGGAGCGGACCCCCCUGGAUUUCAAUGCUGACCACGCGGUGCAAUCCUGAGGGAAUGCACCCUAGAGCCAGUUGUGGGGCCAACCUUUAAUCUUCCUACAGAAUCUCCAACCAUAGAGGAGGAGACUUCCUGUCCUUAUUUGAUCCCAAGACCAGUGAUUACAACUGCUAACAAUGGUAAUAAAAAUGAUGAGUAUUUCUAGGCUAUUUCAUUAAUGUUUUACGUUAAUUGGCCACCACUUAAGAUAAGUUUACAAGUUAAGCUUUAGUUGGAAGCAUCUGGCUGGUUGUUUAGGGGAUGCUGCCACAGAGGAUGUAACAGUAUUAGUACCUACCCCGGCACAGAAGAAACGUAGACGUGGCCCAGCCAACUGCACUGAGUUCGAGAAGUUUUGUAAGCACGGGCCAAUACAUUUGAAGAUCAAUGAUGGGGAGAUGGCACCAUGUUGUUCUAAUGCCUGUAUGUUCACAACAAGGAUAACAUGGUUAUUGAAACACCAUGCAGACAUGAGUCAUGCAAGGUGGACGGAUGUACCCAAGCCCGAGAAGGAUGAGUUGAUGGAGCGCAUCUGGGGUGACUUUGAAUUGGAUUGGGAGAAGAACAAUCAUCAAAUGGUUGUUUGGAAAGCCCUACGUAAGCGUUUUAACGCUUAUCACCAUGAUUUGCACAAGAAGUAUAUGAAGUUUGCCACUCAUGAGGAAGCAUUGGCUUCCGAGACUAGUAUGGUCAACCCAAUAGUAUGGACUAAACUUUGUGAGAGAUGGGGAAGUGAUUCUUUCAAGAAAAUGUCAGCUAGAAAUAGAGAGAGUCUCAAGAAACUCGAAGUUAAUCGUAAAUGACGUACAUCGGGGUGUAAGUCAUUUGUUAGGGUACUCAAAGAAAAGCGAGUAGACAAGACCAACGUAGUGGACUUCUAUCGACACACUCGCUGGUCAAAGAAGAAAGAGAAGUUUGUGACACCAGCAACGGAACAUAAUUAUAACAAGAUGACCAGUAGAAUGGAUACAUUAGAGCUU